CAGUGGGGAAUAUUGGACAAUGGGCGAAAGCCUGAUCCAGCCAUGCCGCGUGUGUGAAGAAGGUCUUCGGAUUGUAAAGCACUUUAAGUUGGGAGGAAGGGCAGUAAGUUAAUACCUUGCUGUUUUGACGUUACCAACAGAAUAAGCACCGGCUAACUUCGUGCCAGCAGCCGCGGUAAUACGAAGGGUGCAAGCGUUAAUCGGAAUUACUGGGCGUAAAGCGCGCGUAGGUGGUUUGGUAAGAUGGAUGUGAAAUCCCCGGGCUCAACCUGGGAACUGCAUCCAUAACUGCCUGACUAGAGUACGGUAGAGGGUGGUGGAAUUUCCUGUGUAGCGGUGAAAUGCGUAGAUAUAGGAAGGAACACCAGUGGCGAAGGCGACCACCUGGACUGAUACUGACACUGAGGUGCGAAAGCGUGGGGAGCAAACAGGAUUAGA
rnacentral:rRNA from 1 species